CCACAUCCAAGGAAGGCAGCAGGCGCGCAAAUUACCCAAUGCUAAUUCAGCGAGGUAGUGACAAUAAAUACUGAUACGGGGCUCUUUCGGGUCUCGUAAUUGGAAUGAGUACAAUCUAAAUCCCUUAACGAGGAACAAUUGGAGGGCAAGUCUGGUGCCAGCAGCCGCGGUAAUUCCAGCUCCAAUAGCGUAUAUUAAAGUUGUUGCCGUUAAAAAGCUCGUAGUUGAACCUUGGACCUGGCUGAUCUGUCCUCCUAAUCGAGCGCACGGAUUCGGUCGGGUCUUUCCUUCUGGGGAGCCCCAUGCCCUUUACUGGGUGUGGUGGGGAACCAGGACUUUUACCUUGAAAAAAUUAGAGUGUUCAAAGCAGGCCUUUGCUCGAAUACAUUAGCAUGGAAUAAUAGAAUAGGACAUCGGUUCUAUUUUGUUGGUUUCUAGGACCGCUGUAAUGAUUAAUAGGGAUAGUCGGGGGCGUCAGUAUUCAAUUGUCAGAGGUGAAAUUCUUGGAUUUAUUGAAGACUAACUACUGCGAAAGCAUUCGCCAAGGAUGUUUUCAUUAAUCAGUGAACGAAAGUUAGGGGAUCGAAGACGAUCAGAUACCGUCGUAGUCUUAACCAUAAACUAUGCCGACUAGGGAUCGGACGGUGGUUUUUUUAUGCCCCGUUCGGCACCUUACGAGAAAUCAAAGUUUUUGGGUCGGGGGGGAGUAUGGUCGCAAGGCUGAAA
rnacentral:rRNA from 1 species